AUGCAAGAAACACAAGAAACGCGUGUUUAGCGUUGCCGGCUAUCGCCCUCGAAAUUAUCCACGGAAGGGGAGAGACCUGCUGAGCUCUACUUCAUCAUCUGUGUCGACUAGCUCGACGAAUCCGCUGUUGAACAAUCAGCGUUUUCGAAGACAUGACUCGGCUUUGUCAGACGACCGCUACUGGUGGUUGUCGAAUACGCACCUUUCGGCAUUUUACGAGAAUAUCUUCGUGAAAGAAGACUUGACCGAAACGGAGAGACCAUUCCAAUAGAAGGAGAAGAAAAGUUGUGCUUUAGGGAUUUCGUCUCCUUCAGUUAUCAAAUUGCUCGUGGAAUGGAAUAUUUGUCAGGAAGAAAGUGUAUUCAUCGCGAUCUUGCUGCCAGGAAUAUUUUAGUUGGUGAAGAUAAAGUAAUGAAAAUUGCAGACUUUGGUUUAGCUCGCGACAUUAAUCAGAUUGACUAUUACCGCAAAAAAAC